rnacentral:rRNA from 1 species
UACGUAGGGUGCAAGCGUUGUCCGGAAUUACUGGGCGUAAAGCGCACGUAGGCGGCUUUGUAAGUUAGAGGUGAAAGCCCAGGGCUUAACCCUGGAAUUGCCUUUAAGACUGCAUCGCUAGAAUCGUGGAGAGGUAAGUGGAAUUCCGAGUGUAGAGGUGAAAUUCGUAGAUAUUCGGAAGAACACCAGUGGCGAAGGCGACUUACUGGACACGUAUUGACGCUGAGGUGCGAAAGCGUGGGGAGCAAACAGG